rnacentral:rRNA from 1 species
CAUGAACGCUGGCGGCGUGCCUAAUACGUGCAAGUCGAGCGAAUGGAUUAAGAGCUUGCUCUUAUGAAGUUAGCGGCGGACGGGUGAGUAACACGUGGGUAACCUGCCCAUAAGACUGGGAUAACUCCGGGAAACCGGGCUAAUACCGGAUAACAUUUUGAACCGCAUGGUUCGAAAUUGAAAGGCGGCUUCGGCUGUCACUUAUGGAUGGACCCGCGUCGCAUUGGAUAGUUGGUGAGGUAACGGCUUACCAAAGCAAAGAUGCGUAGCCGACCUGAGAGGGGGAUCGGCCACACUGGGACUGAGACACGGCCCAGACUCCUACGGGAGGCAGCAGUAGGGAAUCUUCCGCAAUGGACGAAAGUCUGACGGAGCAACGCCGCGUGAGUGAUGAAGGCUUUCGGGUCGUAAAACUCUGUUGUUAGGGAAGAACAAGUGCUAGUUGAAUAAGCUGGCACCUUGACGGUACCUAACCAGAAAGCCACGGCUAACUACGUGCCAGCCGCCGCCGUAA